AGAAACUACAGCAGGUCAAAGAAAAAGAAGAGAGAAAGAUUGACUCCAUCUCUGCAUUCGCUCAAUGGAGUGACCAAAAGAAGGAUGUUAUUGAAGAGAAGUUAAGGGCAGAACGCAAGAAGGAGAAGAUAAAGGAAGUGGAGGAGAAAUAUGAAAAGGAGGAAAAAGAAAAAAUGGCCUUGGAGAUGUAUGAGAAAUGGCUG